rnacentral:rRNA from 1 species
CGUGUAGGCGGCCUUUUAAGUCAGACGUGAAAUCCAUGGGCUUAACCCAUGAAUUGCGUUUGAAACUGGAGGGCUUGAGGAUCGGAGAGGGCAGUGGAAUUCCCAGUGUAGCGGUGAAAUGCGUAGAUAUUGGGAGGAACACCAGUGGCGAAGGCGACUGCCUGGACGACACCUGACGCUGAGGCGCGAAAGCUAGGGGAGCAAACGGGAUUAGAUACCCCGGUAGUCCUAGCCGUAAACGAUGGGUACUAGGUGUGGGAGGUAUCGACCCCUUCCGUGCCGCAGUUAACACAAUAAGUACCCCGCCUGGGGAUACGGCCGCAAGGUUGAA